GACGAACGCUGGCGGCGUGCUUAACACAUGCAAGUCGAACGGAAAGGCCCUGCUUUUGUGGGGUGCUCGAGUGGCGAACGGGUGAGUAACACGUGAGUAACCUGCCCUUGACUUUGGGAUAACUUCAGGAAACGGGGGCUAAUACCGGAUAGGAGCUCCUGCGGCAUGGUGGGGGUGGGAAAGUGUCGGCGGUUGGGGAUGGACUGGCGGCUUAUGAGCUUGUUGGUGGGGUAGUGGCUGAACAAGGCUUUGACGGGUGGCCGGCCUGAGUGGGUGAGCGGCCACAUCGGGACUGAGAUACGGCGCAGAAGCCUACGGGAGGGCACAGUGGGGAAUAGUGCAAAACGGGGGGAAGCCUUAUGCAGUGAAGCCGUGUGCGGGAUGAAGGUCUUCGGGUUGUAAACCGCUUUCGCCUGUGACGAAGCGGGAGUGACGGUAAUGGGUUAAGAAGCACCGGCUAACUACGUG
rnacentral:rRNA from 1 species